AAAAAGUUAAAUCUUGGGUUUCCGUGUCCAACUUUAACUGUCCGUUUUAUAUGAAAUUUUUUUAUAAUUCGUAUUUUCAUUGUUGUUAGAUGAUAAAACAUGAUUAAUAUUUUAUAUGUGACUUGUCUUUUUAUUUUUUUUAUAAUUUUUUUAAAUAAGACGGACGGUUAAAUGUUAGACACGGAAACC
rnacentral:pre_miRNA from 1 species